ACCCAGUGGUGGUGAUGGGCACCCAAAGGAGGUGAUGGGCACCCACUGGGGGUGAUGGGCACCCAACAGUGUUGGUGGGCACCCAGUGGUGUUGAUGAGCACCCAAUGAUGCUGAUGGGCACCCAACGGAGGUCAUUGGCAUCAAAUGCUGAUGGACACCCAAUGGAUGUGAUGAGUGCUCUUUGGAGGUGAUUGGAACCCAGUGGUGCUGAUGGGCACCCAACGGUGUUGAUGGGCACCCAGUAGAGGUGAUGGGCACCCAUUGGUGUUGAUGGGCACCCAACGGUGGUGAUGGGCACCCAGUGGUGUUGAAGGGCACCCAAUGGAGGUGAUGGGAACCCAGUGGAGGUGAUGGGUACCCUACAGAGAUGAUGGGCACCCAACGGUGUUGGUGGGCACCCAAUGGUGUUGAUGAGCACCCAACGGUGUCUUGAUGAGCACCCAAUGGUGUUGAUGGGCACCCAACGGUGUUGAUGGGCACCCAACGGAGAUCAUUGGCAUCAAAUGAUGAUGGGCACCCAAUGGAGGUGAUGGGUGCUCUUUGGAGGUGAUGGGUACCCAGUGGUGUUGAUGGGCACCUAACGCUGUUGAUGGGCACCCAACGGUAUUGAUGGACACCCAACGGUGUUGGUGGGCACCCAGUAGGGAUCAUUGGCAUCAAGUGCUGAUGGGCACCCAAUGGAGGCGAUGGGUGCUCUUUGGAGGUGAUUGGCACCCAACAGAGGUGAUGGGCACCCAGCGGUGCUGAUGGGCACCCAACGGAGGUCAUUGGCAUCAGAUGGUGAUGGGCACCCAGUGGUGUUGAAGGGCACCCAACGGUGUUGAUGGGCACCCAGUUGUGUUGAUGGGCACCCAGCAAAGGUGACGGGCACCCAACGGUGUUGAUGGGCACCCAGUGGAGGUGAUGGGCACCCAGUGGUGUUGAAGGGCACCCAGUCGUAGUGGUAGGUACCCAACAGUGUUGAUGGGCACCCAGUGGAGGUGACGACCACCCCCAAGAUAACAUGAGCACCCUGAUGGGGGGGGGUCCCCGCCUCCCCCAUGUCCCUCCCCCCCUAAUUUAUGCCCCCCUUUCCUUGCAGAUCCUGAGCCACGCGAAGCCGGCACCCUCCCUGGGCACCCCCCAGCCCCCUGCCCCCACCACCCACCCCCCGACCUCCCACGCGCCCGCCCCGUUCCUGCUGCACGGGGCCCUGCCACUGGUGGGGUGCGCCUCGGCCCCCCCCCAACCCCACGGGGUUGCCUGGGCCGGGGGGGGGGACGGCAGGCGGAGGGGGGGCCCUCUACGGAGCCUCGUCCAGCGCCGAGGCCGGCAAAAGGGACGGCAGCGUCACCUCCGAGGGGCGCGGGGACACCGACAAGUACCUCCAGAAGCUUCACACCCAGGAGCGGGCGGUGGAGGAGGUCAAGUUGGCCAUCAAACCCUUCUACCAACGCAAGGGCAUCUCGCCCGCGAUCGUGUCCCCAUCCAUGGUGUCCCCAUGGUGUCCCCACGGUGUCCCC